UCGAGCGUCAUUACAACCCUCAAGCUCUGCUUGGUCUUGGGCGUCACCCCCCCGGGUGCGCCUUAAAAUCAGUGGCGGUGCCGUCUGGCUUCAAGCGUAGUAUUACUCCUCGCUUGGGAGCCCGGGCGUGCGUCUUGCCAAAACCCCAUACUUCUUUUAGGUUGACCUCGGAUCAGGUAGGGAUACCCGCUGAACUUAAGCAUAUCAAUAAGCGGAGGAAAAGAAACCAACAGGGAUUGCCUCAGUAACGGCGAGUGAAGCGGCAACAGCUCAAAUUUGAAAUCUGGCCCCCUCGGGGCCCGAGUUGUAAUUUGUAGAGGAUGUUUCGGGUGUGGCUCCGGUCUAAGUUCCUUGGAACAGGACGUCAUAGAGGGUGAGAAUCCCGUAUGUGACUGGCAGCCUACGCCCAUGUGAAGCUCCUUCGACGAGUCGAGUUGUUUGGGAAUGCAGCUCAAAAUGGGUGGUAAAUUUCAUCUAAAGCUAAAUAUUGGCCAGAGACCGAUAGCGCACAAGUAGAGUGAUCGAAAGAUGAAAAGCACUUUGGAAAGAGAGUUAAACAGUACGUGAAAUUGUUGAAAGGGAAGCGCUUGCAACCAGACUUGCGUGCGGCCGAUCAUCCGGUGUUCUCACCGGUGCACUCGGCCGUGCUCAGGCCAGCAUCGGUUUCGGCGGCUGGAUAAAGGCCAUGGGAAUGUAGCUUCUC
rnacentral:rRNA from 1 species